UACGUAGGGGGCAAGCGUUGUCCGGAAACAUUGGGCGUAAAGAGCGUGUAGGCGGCUCGAUAAGUCUGCUGUGAAAGUCCAGGGCUCAACCCUGGAAGGCCGGUGGAAACUGUCGGGCUAGAGUCCGGAAGAGGCGAGUGGAAUUCCCGGUGUAGCGGUGAAAUGCGCAGAUAUCGGGAGGAACACCAAUGGCGAAGGCAGCUCGCUGGGACGGUACUGACGCUGAGACGCGAAAGCGUGGGGAGCAAACAGG
rnacentral:rRNA from 1 species